AGAGUUUGAUCAUGGCUCAGAUUGAACGCUGGCGGCAGGCCUAACACAUGCAAGUCGAACGGUAACAGGAAGAAGCUUGCUUCUUUGCUGACGAGUGGCGGACGGGUGAGUAAUGUCUGGGAAACUGCCUGAUGGAGGGGGAUAACUACUGGAAACGGUAGCUAAUACCGCAUAACGUCGCAAGACCAAAGAGGGGGACCUUCGGGCCUCUUGCCAUCGGAUGUGCCCAGAUGGGAUUAGCUUGUUGGUGGGGUAACGGCUCACCAAGGCGACGAUCCCUAGCUGGUCUGAGAGGAUGACCAGCCACACUGGAACUGAGACACGGUCCAGACUCCUACGGGAGGCAGCAGUGGGGAAUAUUGCACAAUGGGCGCAAGCCUGAUGCAGCCAUGCCGCGUGUAUGAAGAAGGCCUUCGGGUUGUAAAGUACUUUCAGCGGGGAGGAAGGGAGUAAAGUUAAUACCUUUGCUCAUUGACGUUACCCGCAGAAGAAGCACCGGCUAACUCCGUGCCAGCAGCCGCGGUAAUACGGAGGGUGCAAGCGUUAAUCGGAAUUACUGGGCGUAAAGCGCACGCAGGCGGUUUGUUAAGUCAGAUGUGAAAUCCCCGGGCUCAACCUGGGAACUGCAUCUGAUACUGGCAAGCUUGAGUCUCGUAGAGGGGGGUAGAAUUCCAGGUGUAGCGGUGAAAUGCGUAGAGAUCUGGAGGAAUACCGGUGGCGAAGGCGGCCCCCUGGACGAAGACUGACGCUCAGGUGCGAAAGCGUGGGGAGCAAACAGGAUUAGAUACCCUGGUAGUCCACGCCGUAAACGAUGUCGACUUGGAGGUUGUGCCCUUGAGGCGUGGCUUCCGGAGCUAACGCGUUAAGUCGACCGCCUGGGGAGUACGGCCGCAAGGUUAAAACUCAAAUGAAUUGACGGGGGCCCGCACAAGCGGUGGAGCAUGUGGUUUAAUUCGAUGCAACGCGAAGAACCUUACCUGGUCUUGACAUCCACGGAAGUUUUCAGAGAUGAGAAUGUGCCUUCGGGAACCGUGAGACAGGUGCUGCAUGGCUGUCGUCAGCUCGUGUUGUGAAAUGUUGGGUUAAGUCCCGCAAGUGCGUCGUAGUCCGGAUUGGAGUCUGCAACUCGACUCCAUGAAGUCGGAAUCGCUAGUAAUCGUGGAUCAGAAUGCCACGGUGAAUACGUUCCCGGGCCUUGUACACACCGCCCGUCACACCAUGGGAGUGGGUUGCAAAAGAAGUAGGUAGCUUAACCUUCGGGAGGGCGCUUACCACUUUGUGAUUCAUGACUGGGGUGAAGUCGUAACAAGGUAACCGUAGGGGAACCUGCGGUUG
rnacentral:rRNA from 1 species